rnacentral:tRNA from 1 species
GGAGGGGUGCCCGAGCUGGCCAAAGGGAGCAGACUGUAAAUUUGCCGCCGCAAGGCUACGGGGGUUCAAAUCCUCCCCCCUCCACCA